GUGAAUCAUCGAAUCUUUGAACGCAUAUUGCGCUCUUUGGUAUUCCGAAGAGCAUGCUUGUUUGAGUAUCAGUAAACACCUCAACCUCCUCUUGAUUUUUCAAAAGGAGGGUGGACUUGAGCUAUCCCAACAACCUUUACCGGUAGGCGGGCGGCUUGAAAUGCAGGUGCAGCUGGACUUUUAUCUGAGCUAAAAGCAUAUCUAUUUAGUCCUCGUCAAACAGGAUUAUUACUAUUGCUGCAGCUAACAUAAAGGAUAAUUGUCCUCAUUGCUGACUGAUGCAGGAUUUUACGACACUUUAUGUGUUGUUCAACUCGAUCUCAAAUCAAGUAAGACUACCCGCUGAACUUAAGCAUAUCAAUAAGCGGAGGA
rnacentral:misc_RNA from 1 species